AAACAAUUCGUCCACCGUGUUACGUAUAUAAUUCAUCCUGAUAAUUAUGUACGCUGUGCGAAGAUAAGCCGCCACGCGAAUACGAGGAUAGCGGGCGCAACAGUCGCAUUAAUUUCUCUUAAAUCAUAAUAGGCGGAAUUAGUAUAUAUCUAGACUCGCAUUACCUAUUUUACCGCCCGUGUUACGAUCGUGAAUAUAACUGGAAUGGGUGUGCAAGAUCGAUAAUUCCGCGAUUCGUUCCGUUCUAAUGACGUUUUAAUGCUUACGUGUGCGAAGAUAUUCCCCGCGUGUCGUUGAAAAAUUCACGCCGUAUGAAUCAUUCCGGGAAUCCUGUUAUGCCGUUCGUUAUUCAUUUCGGGAAUAAUAUGAAAUUUCUAUUGGAAUUCGAUAUCAAUUUUUUCUCUCUCGGGAAUAAUAUCUUUUAUAUGAAGGAAAACUUGGGAAUCCUGAAAAUCAUCGAUCAUUGAUUUUGUAAAUACGAUACACGAUCUGGUGCUUUUAGAUUCCAUUAUAUUAAUGGCUUCGUGUUUAUUCUGCAUGUAGAAAGAAUUUCUUAAAAAGAAAAUUCAGAAUGUUAUCUAUAAAAAUUAUUUUUGCAUUCGUAUUAACCGAUAUUCUUGAGUAAAUGGUAAAAUAUGAAACGUAAAAGUUUGAAGAUUAAAUUGGCACAUCUCUAUAAAUUAAUUUUCUUUCAUCCCGCUCGUGGAUAACUAACCGAGAGAUAAGUAAUUAUAAAAAUUAGAUUAUAAAUCUCAGCUUGUCGAGUUUCUCUCUUCCGUUGCGCGAUUUCAGAACGAAGAUUAUAAUAUCAUUACGAAAAGUAUACUCGUUUCGCGGAUUGCACGCUUUCAAACUGCGAAAGCAGCUUUCAGAACGAUCCAUUCGAUACUCUCGCGUUUCCUUUUCAUUUCGCAAUCCUUCUCCAUUCUCGUUCAACUUUUUCAUCCUUGGCCCGGCGAACAAGUUGUCUCGAGGAAUUUCGCCAACGAUGACGAUUCAAAACGAUCGUAGAAUUCUAUUCAACGACACUCGCACACAGAAAAUAACGAUUGAAAAGUUUUUUUUCAUCCUACGAAAGAAGGAAAUUACGAGAGUUGGCCCAUUUGUUUAUGCAGAUCAAAAAUUAGAGCAGGCCGUGCGGAUAAUUGGAAACGCAUUACUUCUGCACUUCUAUAUCGUGUGCCGGUAAUUAAGCUGUCAUUUGCACCGUCCGAGUUUCUCGUCCGCCAUUUUUACGAGUCCACGUCAAAGAGCCGUGGGUUCAUUUCUUAAACGUCCACUGACCAGAGAGGAAAAGUAAACAUCGUGGCUGCUCGUUAAGUGCCAUCCUUUCAUCUUUCACGCUCAAACGGAUACGAAAAGUCGCGAUUAAUUUACUUUUAACGUUCGAUUAUCGAUUUUCCUUUCGUUUCACCCUGUGAAAUGCCAAUUAUCCGUCUGCAAUCUACGAGAGUUGAUUUAUUACGUAGGGAUCGCGCGAGGAGAAGUAUCACGGGCGAAUUAAAAGAAUUAUUUUCAAGUGGAAUUCGAUCAUCCGAGAAGACCGUAUUUUCGCUUCGCGUAUAUUUUUAAUUCGAGAAUAGAAUCGUCGAGAAAUGUGUCUUGUGCAAAGAGAAUAUGAGAUAAGGGAAUAACGUUUUUAUAUCUCGCAUCUAGAAACAUUGUGACAAGAUUGGAGACUUUCCUUAUCACCGUUUCUUUCAUCUCGUGGAAAUUUAAUUUCUUUGCCAUCAAUGCCACCAACGUUGAUCUCGUUACGAAUACCAUUUCCAAUAUCGAUGAAAACUUUCGUCCGAAGAUUAAUUUCGACUUUGACGAUGUUUGCUACUUUGCAUUAGAAAUUUGAUCGUUUUAUCGCGUGGAGUUUUAAAGCAAAUUUUAUAUUUCGAAUAAAAAAAAGAGCUUCUCUCGAGAACGAGACGAUUUAUUCGAACAUUGCUCUCCUCGAAUAUCGAGGCAAAGAAAGAGAGACUCGUGGAAUCGGAUAGCGAAGUAUCAACAAGAAACUUUCAAUAGCCGAUAGAGAAAAUUCAAAAUCCUUUCUGGAAAAUAAAUAAUGAAACGUCGGCCCCCGGAAAUGGAACGUGGAAAGAGGUCGCAACAAAUUGCGGAUCAAAUAUUCCCAGGCGGAACGGUUUCGGUCUCGACUCGAAAUGGAUUUCGAGAGCGAGGAUUUCUCGUUGUUUAGUUUUAUCUUUGAAUUACGGGAGGGGGGAGAAGAGGAGAAGGGCAGCCGUUAUGAAAGCAAGUGGCCGCGUAUUGGUUCGAUGAAUUCGCGUAAUGGAAGCAUUAGAGCAUUACCUUUCGCGCACCGUUUUCCAAGGGAGCCCGGUUACUGCCGGUUUUAUGCUCGCCGCAACAAUGACCGCCCACGCAUACGUCCGCCUCUCAUCAACUGCGAACGCUCUUCUAAACGUGCAAGGGGAGGGAAUUACCGCUCGUCGAUAGCCCUUCCUUCCAUCCACGCAAUCGACUCUUUCUUUUUUAUUUAUUUUUUUCUUUUUCACGAGACGAAGCUGCCUUACGUAAUCUUCGAAGAUCAAGAUCUAUUGGAAGAAUGUGAAAGUGACGUAAAAAAUUAAUUCAAUACCAGUGAGCGAAGGUAUGGAAAUUUAUCACAGUCGUUUAAAAUUAAUCGUGGCGAUUCUUUUUUAUUUAUUUUUUCUUUUUUACGAGACGAAGCUGCGUUAUGUAAUCUUCGAAGAUCAAGAUCUAUCGUUGGAAGAAUGUGAAAGUGACGUAAAAAAUUAAUUCAAUACCAGUGAGCGAAGAGAAUAUACGGAAUUGUAAGGGAAAAAGCAAGAUCCUUCGGAGGGAUAUUUGCAAGCAGAGGAGCGUUUUCUUGUCGGCGAAGAAGAAGACGGCGUCAGCUCGUGAACGUUUCAUACGUAGAUCUACAUGCACGAUAUAAACACAAAGGAAGGACGAGACGUUUUUGCUCCCUUCCUUCAGGAGAAUUCCAGCGUAGGAAUCUGCAUCUGUUUCCCUAAUGUCAAUCAUAUUUCGUUUUUAUCUCUUCCCUGUUGCCAAAGCGUACAUUUAACCAACAAAGUGACGUGUAUACCGGAGGAAAGGAAUUCUUGAACGACUUGUUAACUGUCGUCGAAUAUGGGAAUAAAGAAUUCCAGAAGAAGGAACGGAGAACAGGGCAUCCAUAUCGUUUUAUCAACAAGAGGGUUGCAAGAAAGGGAAGAUUCGAAAGAAUCUUUCCUCUUUAAUCCAAGAUUCACAAAAGAUAAGUCCAGAUUCUUCUUGUUCCAGAAUAAAAACAGAAGGAAACGGAGGAUUAUCCAAGGCUAUUUCCAUAUCGUUUCAUCAAUCGAAGAGAAAACGGAGGAUCCACAACAGCUUCCGCAUUGGACUCUUUCAGAGAUUCAAGAUAAUUUCAAAAAGAAAUUAGGAGGACAGAAGAGGAUCCAAAAAAGUUCCUUCCAGAUCCAAAAGAUAAUUUAGACAGAGAGAGCAAAGAUCCUUUCCACGUUAUUCAAGGAUUUUAGAUGGUUCUAGGCUAAAGACUCGAAAAUGGCAUGAAAUGCGUUAAUAAGAAAUCGAGGAUACGAAGGAACUUUUUCCCCUUGCCGCCGGAUUUGCCGGCAAACCGUGAAACGAGAGGAAGAACGUUUUUUUCCUCGUCGGUUCUCGAGCCAGGUCGACCGUCACGACGGGUGACUUUACCGACCGAGCCGAACUUUUUUCCCCCUCUCCCACUUUAUACACCGUGCACAAAUAUUUGCUUUCCGUUAAGAGCGUUCCUCGCUUCGCGAGAAAAUUCGACGGACGAUGAGGUGAGGUGAAAAACAGGCGAGGCAAAACUCUCGAUUCGCCGCUUCCCUUCCUGAUAUAUCGAUCGAUGAAUCGAAGAAUCGUACUGCCCGACCAACGAAUUACAGGAAUUAUAUACCGACCGAUAUAAUAUAUAAUGAUUACACUCCUCUGGUGGCGCGGUGACGAAUUAAAUCGGUAGAUUUAAUUUCUAUUCGCUCGUUGGGAACCGAUCCCGCCUCCUCGUGAAUUUUCAUAACCAAUUUAUCCUCUACGAGUUUUCUUUCGAAUUGAAAACCGCGUCGUCGGCCGUCGUUUAAAAACCCGUGUGGCAUUGGAGAGACUCGCCGUAAUUUCGUUCGUUUGCGGUUCGAGAGGAGUGGAGAGGAAGAAAAGCUGCUCGUUCAGGAGGGAGGGAUGAGAGACGCUGAAUAAUCGGUGUCGGUGAAAUGUCUCGAGAAGAUGGAAUUAAAAGGAGGGGAAAAAACACCGUUCAACCGUCGUUGAACCGGGGACAAGUUUAUUCGGAAGAAGUAGUGUGUAACACGUGCACAACGCUAUUAAGAUCCUCUUCGAAGGAAAUUCUAAUUUAAUUAGACGAGGUAAACGUUUAAAGAAAUACGUCCAUUCGAUUAUAGUUAAAGAUAUUGGAGAUGCUGAUUUAACAAUCUUCGAGAGUCAAGAAUCAUUUGAAGAUCAAGAUGCUGAUUUAACGAAUCUCUUUCCUUGGAAAUCGUUCGAGAAUCAAGAUCAUUCGAAAAUCAAAGUUAGUUGAUCUACUUUUAAAAUUUUUAAAAACCAUCGUGUUGUUAAAAAUAUUCUUAUUAAAUAAUAGAAUAUUUGUCUUUCCUUCGAAUUAUGUCUUUCCUUCGAAGUUGUUCGAGAAUCAUUCGAAGAUCAAGAAAUCGUUCGAGAGUCAAGAAUCAUUCGAAGAUCAAGGAUAAUCAAAUUUUUAGAAAUUUUUAAAAAUUGUUGAAAAUUAAAAAUUGUUAUUAAAAAUAGAUGAAAAUUAAAUUUUUAUCGAAAUGAUCGGAUGCUAAUUUAAAAAUCUCUUUCCUUAGAAAUCGUUCGAGAGUCAAGAAUCAUUCGAAGAUCAAGAUUAAUCAAACUUUUUGAAAUUUUUAAAAAUGAUUGUUAUUAAAAAUAGAUGAAAAUUAAAUUUUUAUUGAAAUGAUCAGUUUUAAAAAUCUAAUUUAAAAAUAUCUCUUUCCUUAGAAAUUGUUCGAGAGUCAAGAAUCAUUCGAAGAUCAAGAAAUCGUUCGAGAGUCAAGAAUCAUUCGAAGAUCAAGGAUAAUCAAAUUUUUAGAAAUUUUUAAAAAUUGUUGAAAAUUAAAAAUUGUUAUUAAAAAUAGAUGAAAAUUAAAUUUUUAUCGAAAUGAUCGGAUGCUAAUUUAAAAAUCUCUUUCCUUAGAAAUCGUUCGAGAGUCAAGAAUCAUUCGAAGAUCAAGGAUAAUCAAAUUUUUAGAAAUUUUUAAAAAUUGUUGAAAAUUAAAAAUAGAUGAAAAUUAAAUUUUUAUUGAAAUGAUCAGUUUUAAAAAUCUAAUUUAAAAAUAUCUCUUUCCUUAGAAAUUGUUCGAGAGUCAAGAAUCAUUCGAAGAUCAAGAAAUCGUUCGAGAGUCAAGAAUCAUUCGAAGAUCAAGGUUAGUUGAAGACCAAAAUCGUGCCAAAUAUUGCGCGACGAGAAAAUCAAACGACGGAAUAUUAUGAUAUCGAAGCGAUUGAAGAACGAGUUUACGGUUUAUCAGAGAAUUUAAUUGGUCGAAGUCGAAGGUGGCGCUUCCGCUUUUGUUAAACGGUUUUGGAGAGGUGUUUCACGGAUCCCCGACUCGUGGAAAGAGAUGCCUUUGUCCUGUUGUAGAGGAGGAGGCAGUGGGAGAUCUUUUUAACGAUUCCACGCGGAGCUUCCUUAAUAAGUCCGGUCUUUUCGCGUGGAACGAAUAAAUCAUCGUUUCGACGACCCAUUAAAAACUCUCUAGAAGAAAGAUAAUAAGAAAGGUUCUUAUUACUCGGAGGGAGAGACACCGGUCGAGCAAAAGAGAGACUGAAGAAAAUUGCUGACAACUGCAGACAACGUAUCUUAACGAUAAGACACCGAGCGCGUAAUCCUCUUAAAACGCUUUGCCCGCUUUUUAACGAGAAAAACGUUGCAGCGAUAUGUAAGAGUAUCACACCUCUACUGUCCCCUCCCCCCAUAAUACUUUAUCUCCAAUAUUUCUCGCUUUAAUUAUAUCGAAAUUCACUAAGCUUAUAUUGAAAAAUAUCCAGUAAGUGUAUACUUUUUUAGUCGAUCUUGAAUGCACGAAAAUAUCGACGUCGAUGACAGAUCCAUGCAAAUUGCGCGAAGCAUCGUUUCGCGAGUUCUUAAAAAUGGCGUCCGUCAAUGGCAGGGGGAGGGAUUCGUUUGCGAGGAGGAUUCAGCUGGGACUGUCGAUUCCGUUCACGUUCGAUUUCGUUCGACAUCGACGAAUCGAGAUGAUAGAUGCGGCGAGAAUUGGUCGAAUUGGAUGUCAUCGAGCAAUUUUCGAGAGGAAAAACAUUGCGGUCUCCCAGCGAAAUGGUGGCUUGAUUCGGAUAUCCCUAGGAAAUUUAUAGACCCAGGUAUUUCGAGGCCUCUCGAAGAGAACGUUUUUCUCGUUUCUUUCGCGAAUCGAUCGGAGGAGGAACAGUUAAUUAAAUUGAUUAAUCGAAUGUAGGAAGGGAAUGCACGUUGCAUAUUAUCCAUUAGUUGUCGAUCCAUUUGUUAUCGUUUAUAAAUAUUGUUUCCCCUUAUUCGUUUCAUCUUUGUGCAAAUGGAAAUUGCGUUUGCUACGAGAUAGAAUAUUACAAAUCAAAAACGUCCCUUUCAACGACGAUUGACGACUCGCGGAUUGAACGUGAUACGAGGAAUAAUACGAGGCAUACGUGUAUUGAAAAAUAAACGCCAUUUUGCUUUGUUCAAAUGUAUAUAUGUAUAUAUACAUCUGGUCUGUAUCAAUUUCAAUUGGAUAAUGCCAACGAUUUGGUAAACUAGUUUUAUACGAACAUUUUGUUAUCAAUGAUGUGUAUUUGCGAAUUUUUUUCGAUAAAAAAUUCAUUUUCUAUAUCCUUCUAGUUUAGAGAGGAUUAUUUUUUCCUUUUAGAAUGGUUGAAAACGAUAGAAGUUUUAAGUUUGUUAUCAGAAAAAAUGCAUUUCAUAUCUUCUAGGAUUAUUUUCUUCUUCCAGAAUAGUUGAAUAAAUUGAAUGAAAACUAUUAUAGAUAGAGAUAGAAAUAAUGCCUUCUCAAAGGAUUUAUUUCAAAAUAAAUUUAUAAUAGUUUCAGUUUC